CAACAAUUGUUCAUUCAAUUUCGAAAAGCACAAAGCAUGACCGAUUUGCAGAGAUCUACUGUGUAACCAUAUUUAAAGCUACAGAAUAGAUCAGUGCUUGAAUGUGCUUUGCUACAGUCACCAUAAAAUAAAAAUGUGACCGCAUAUAGCUAACCAUGUUUUAUCUGGUAUAGUACUACGACGUUUCUAGCGAGAUCAUUCGUCGAUUUAAUAAACGUCACGAAGCUCUACUUCGAAACCAUGAAUCUAAGCUGGCGUUCACGUUUUACCAACGUCAUAUUUGGCUUAUCUGUUGUGUGUAUUGCACUGGUGUUCACGCUCAGUCAAUUCAGUUUCAACGCUUAUAAAGUCCGUUUAAUUCCAGGCAGUUUACUGGAGCGGAAUUUAGACAGACUACCGAAAAGGUUUGGCGCGAAUAUGUACUGGAUAUCGAAGAACAUUUUGCCACUUGAAUGGGAGGAUAUACACUGUAAAGAGGGAAAAAAUAAGACGAAAACUAUUAUUUUUAACAAAAGGGUUGCAAAAUUGUCAAAAGCACUUGGAAUUGUGGACGGUCAAUCAUUAUUUGACACUAAUACGGGCUGUUUGAAGUGGCUCAAACAAUUUCGUUCCCAGUUCCCUAAUCUUGACUUGGCCGGGUUCGACGAGGAUUACGACGCGGUCGAUUACGCGAAACGUUUCUUCAACGAUACAGCACGGAAAUUUGUAAAGCGGUUAUCGCGAGCACGGAAUAACAGUUUUGACCACGCUAUUAAUUUCGCGGGCUUACAAACAACGAGGGCCGAUAAACAAUGCUCAGAGGUCAAAACUAUUUUGAAGACCCUAAAGCCAGGUGGUAUUUUGUACAUUGGACACAACUUGGAACAAAGUUGCCGAAGUAAGACUUGUGAAAAAUGUUUGUCUAACAUGAUGAAUAUAGGUUUUACGAUUUUGAACAAAUGUUUUUGGCCCAAAAUAUGUCUUAGAGGGGAAAGAAAUCUAUAUGACAUUUAUUAUAUUCUAGAACAAUAUUUUUUUGGUUCGUCUAGUGAUUUUUCCGAAUGUCGAACGGGCGUAUUCAUACGGAAAAAGCCCGGUGGCCAUACGAACAAAACACUACCGGCACUAAAACCCUCGGAUAUCUAUUACCAAUGUUAAUGGAGUCUAAUAUUUAUCUAGAAUCACUGUUUGCAGUCUGCUGGUAGAGGACAAAAGAACAAAACUCUACCGGCAUAUAAAGCAUCGAAUAUUUAUUACCACUGUCAGUGUAGACCUAUAUAUUUAUAUAACUAAUUCUUUUUUUGUGGUCUACAGAUGUCAUGCAUAUACGAAUAAAACACCAUCGGCACUUAAACCUUCGGGUAUUUACUACCAAUAUUAAUUGUUGAGGCUUUUGUGAUUACUUAACCUUAACUUAUAAAAAGUUAAAGCAAGAGUUU